AGAGGAUAAAGAUAAGUGGUUGCACAUUUGAAUUCAAAUCAAAUUUGAAUUCAAAUGCAAACCAACUCAUCCCUAUCCACUUGGGCGUGAGAAGAGAAGGUGCGUGGCUGCUUUGUGCAUGGAAAGGUUUCACGAGAAACUCUUUCUCGUGUAAGAUAUGGGGUGCUAAAGAAGAUAAGGACAAGGCGCAUGGAUUGGUUGCUCAUUCAAAUUCAAAGUUUCUUUUGAAUUUGAAUGGCCAACCAACCAUCCUUAUCCACCUAUAUGG
rnacentral:lncRNA from 1 species